GCAUUCCUUUCGUUUACGUACUCUUCGAUAGACACGAUGCUCAAAAAUAAUCACAGAUUUAAUAAUACGAUUUCAAGAAACCGAAAUGAGAUGUAUAGCUGCAGUUAUGCCAUGCUACCCUUGAAACCCGAGCUACCAGCAAUAAGUGUAUAGCUGAGGACAUUUUCUGUUUCAUUGCCACUGAAUAAGCUUGACAUGGCCUGGCGAGCCUCUGCUGAUGGUACUUCUAGCCUAUCCAGCAUGCUUUCAAGCUGAGCCGAGAUUAUGACCAAGACAAGGAUGCACAAACUUAUCGGCGUGUUCACUGUCACUGCAGCCAAAGGAGCGAUUUUUCAAGCUCUGAUAAAAGUGAAACCUAGCUCCCAACAAACGUGGCCAGCAGAUCACUGACGAGGAAGAGGAGGCUCAAGUAACACUCCUCAACGAAGCUUGGCGGGCUCAGCUGCUGAGGCCUGUGGAGCCCUGGACUGGGAACCUCACCGACAUGCUUCUCCAACCUCUUUCCUUUUACAAUAAAUAAUUCUCAGUUAAUA